UAUGGUAUUAGUGAGUGUUCUACUUUCAUUCUUUUACAUGUAGCUGUCCAGUUUUCCCAGCACCACUUAUUGAAGAGGCUGUCUUUUCUCCACUGUAUAUUCUUGCCUCCUUUAUCAAAGAUAAGGUGUCCAUAUGUGCGUGGGUUUAUCUCUGGGCUUUCUAUCCUGUUCCAUUGAUCUAUAUUUCUGUUUUUGUGCCAGUACCAUCCUGACUUCAGACUAGACUACAGAGCUACAGUAAUCAAGACAGUAUGGUACUGCCAUCCUUUGAUUUUAUCAGUUGUGUUGGAAUCUUUACGAUUCUUUGAUUCUUUUUUCCUUAAAAAGGUAGUUAUAGUUUGUGCUAUAUUGGUGUUUAUUUACCUGGUAGGUAGAUUUUGGGUUAAUCUAUAUCUGAAUUCUGUUUCUGUAGGAUAUGUUUACAUUUUCAUUUAAAGGUUCUGAAUGAAUAUUCCUUUGAUUUUUUCUGUUAGAAUCAGGUUCCUUUUGAAUCCAUUCUGUCACAGCUGAGAGGAAUAUCUUGAGUCGGUGGUCUUUAGUGAUUUCCUACCUUCAUCUGGACUCGGAGCCCGCAGGGUGGCAGGGGCCAGUGUGACCUGUCUGUCAGCACAGCUUCUGGCUUCCUCCUUGUCUUUUCCUCCUCUGUGACUCCUUCAGUGACUCAAAGCCAGAGGUGGUAGCUUUCUGGUCGAGCAGUUUGGAUACACAGCCAUAAAUUGCUUUAUUGCUUAAUAAAGGUUUUUAAAAAACCCUUAUUUAAAUACCAAACAAUUUUGUAAUGUAAGUCAUCGUAAUGCCAUUUAAGAAAGCAAAUGGGGGGCUUCCCUGGUGGUGCAGUGGUUGAGAGUCUGCCAGCCGAUGCAGGGGACACGGUUUCGUGCCCCGGUCCAGGAAGAUCCCACAUGCCGCGGAGCGGCUGGGCCCGUGAGCCAUGGCCGCUGAGCCUGCGCUCCGCAACAGGAGAGGCCACAACAGUGAGAGGCCCGUGUACCGCAAAAAAAAAAAAAAAAAAAGAGAAAGCAAAUAGAAACAUUUCAAAGCUGUGGUGCAUACCUUUUUGACAUAUAGGGCCUAUUGUCUUCCUAAAAGGAGGGUUAGUUCUUCCUUUGAGGGUCUCCUGCUGUGCAGAAUAAAAGGUGUUAGCUUAUCCCUUAUCCUGUCCUGCCCUGCGGCGGCUUAGGAAGUGGUUUUGUAGACUUUUGUCAUUUUUCAGCCAUCAGCACGUCAGCAGUGCCCACAGAGGCCCUGGAAAUUCUCCUUUGUCUCUUCAGUGCUGGCUUAUCAUGGCAGAGAUGGCCUCUCAGCAUCUGGAAGUAAAGGAAUCCGCCAUCAUUCUUGGACUCUGCAAAUUGCGUAGUUGUAAAUCGUUGCUCUCAGUCAUCAGCUUUCAGUUUGGAAAGCAACACAAAUUUGUCUCAACAAGCAGAGUCGUUUCCCUCUCUCCCCAUCCUGCUUUUCCUGUGAUAACUACUAUAAAUGUUUUAUUUACAUUCUCCCCUUAGUUUCUCAUAAAAUGUAUGAAACCACGCAUUCAUACAUUUUUAUUUUACAUGCACACACACACACAGUUUCUUUCGAGAAACAAGAUCAUACUCUUUUUGCAGAGUAUUUUUUUAAAUUAAUCAGUUUAUUUAUUUUUGGCUGUGUUGGGUCUUUGUUUCUGUGUGAGGGCUUUCUCUAGUUGCAGUGAGCGGGGGGGGGGGGGGGGGGGGGGCACUUUUCAUCGCGGUGCGCGGGCCUCUCACUGUCGCGGCCUCUCUUGUUGCGGAGCACAGGCUCCAGACACGCAGGCGCAGUAGUUGUGGCUCACGGGCCCAGUUGCUCAGCGGCAUGUGGGAUCUUCCCAGACCAGGGCUUGAACCCAUGUCCACUGCAUUGGCAGGCAGAUUCUCAACCACUGCGCCACCAGGGAAGCCCCUUCAGAGUAUUUUUUUUAACUUACCACUUAAAGGAGGAAGGAAAAGCCAACACAUUAUUUUCUAAAAGGCAGAAAAUCUUUUAGCUUCUUUCUAGUUUCGUCAAAUUUUCCCUUAGCAAUUAGCAUCUGGUUUACCAGAAAGAUUUACUAACUAUAAACCGAAGCAUAUAUACCAGAACCAAAAAGCUAAAAUGUAAGAGAAAUUUAGACCAGUGUACCCACCCGUUUAACUUACUGUGGUUGGAACGGAGCAUUUUCUUCCCUGUUACACUUUUCUUCUGUUUUCUCUAACUCAAAACAUGGUUUAUCAAAACCUAGAACUUUGGGAAUAUAAAGCUCUCCCCCUUAUUUCCUCUUUCUAUUUGUCUGUCAGUUACCUACUCCUAGAAGAGUCUAUGGAACCAACUUAUUAUUCUGAAAACUUGAAAUAAAGGGAAAGAAUCAAGCAUUUACUUGCAUGAACUGUACCUAUACCUCAGGGCAAAAAAAUUUAAUGAAAGUGAGAUAUCUUUAUAGAGAUAAUUUAGCUUUCAAGUGAAGAAUGAGUACAACAUCUAAUGCUGUCUCGGCUGCUAACUUACAAAAAAGAGAUAACCAGGUUUUAUGUGCUUGAAUCUCACCAGUGGUCUCCAUCCAACUUCUAAUUUACAGGAAACAUUAGGAAUAUUCUAAAUGACACCAUGGGGAUGCAGUCACCAAAAGUCAAAUUUGGGAAACCAUGGGACAAAUACUCCCAUUACUUCAACAGAUAAGCUGCAAGGAGAUAAAGAUGGAGAGAGAGGAGGGGAUCCCAUAGAUUGGAAGAGACUGAGGACACGUAUCUGGCAGCUGCAGUGUAUGGACUCACCAAGACCCUGAGUCAAAGGAAGAAACGGGAAAGAAACUUACAGAUGCUUGGGGAAGUUUGGACGCUUUGUUUCAUGAUAUUAAUGAACUGUACUGUUAGAGAUAAAUGCUGAACUAUUCCUGAUGAAAUAACAUGCUGUCUGAGAUCUACUCAGACAGUUUUUGGUGGGAAGGACUAGGUGGGAUAUUGAUGGACCAGGGUGGUCUGUGCAUUGAUAAUGGUUGGAGCUGGUGAUGGAGAUCUGUGCAUCCAUACAUGGCAGCUCAUCGUACUUUUCUCAGUAUUUUCAUUCAAAUUUUUCUGUAAAGUUCUUUAAAAAAGAUCUUUCCUAGGCAGCUAAAUGCAUAGUCAUCUUGCAGGUGAGGUCUCCUUUAAACUAGGUAAUAAACCUCCUUUAAAUUAUGUUCUACAAACCACAAACACAACUCUUUAAAAAAUUUAUUUUUGUUUCAUUUUUUAUUUACAAACUUUUUUAUUUUAUAUUGAACUAUAGUUGAUUUACAAUAUUGUGUUUCAGGUGUACAGCCAAGUGAUUCAGUUAUACAUAUACCUAUAUCUGUUCUUUUUCAAAUUCUUUUCCAUUUUAGGUUAUUACAGAACUUUGAGCAGAGUUCCCUGUGCUAUACAGUAGGUCCCUGUUGUUUAUCUAUUUUAUAUAUAGUAGUGUGUAUAUGUUAAUCCCAAACUCCUCCCCUCCACAAACACAACUCUUAAGUUCAGUUGCUAAAUACAGGUGGACACCUGGGAGAAAGAUGAACUCCAAAGCCUCGUGGAAAAGCAGUGCUGGCCCUACUUGACCACUGUGCUGUCACUGGUCUGUUCCAGCAGAAAUCACCACAUGGACCCUUCGAGGACCAUGUUAGUCUGCGGAUGACACAGCGUUCUGCUGGGCGCUCUGUGAUGGGCAGAUAAAGGCAGUGGAGAGGAUGCAACAUGUUGGCUUUUUCUUGAGAAAAAUAUAGUGUGUGCCAUCCAGCAGCAGCUCACGAGAUGGUCUAAUUCUAGCGCCCUGCUGUCAAAGAGAAUCUGUGCUUUUCUUUUUAAGUAAAUAUUGCCUCUAUUGUCGGUUGGUUAAAACGCCAGCAUAGUUGGAUACAACCUUUUGGAAGUGAGGUGGGCUUUCUGUGAUCUGGGAAGGAAACCGUGGAGAGGUUGUGGGGUGUGCCCAUUCAUUUAGUGAGUCAGUGGUCCAUGAAUUGAAGAGGGUCUAAUGCAGGGGUCCCCAGGCCCCGGGCUGCACAGCAGGAGGUGAGUGGUGGGUAAGUGAGUGAAGCUUCAUCUGCAGCUCCCCAUCGCCCGCAUUACCUCCUGAACCAUUCCCCCCCUCGCACCAUCCCCUGGUCUUCCAUGAAACCGGUCCCUGGUGCCAGAAAGGUUGGGAACCACUAGUCUAACGUACACUGUGCCAGGCAUGGUAUUUAGUCCUGGCAUCUCUGGCGGUUGGUUCCAUCUUAUAGACAUGGGCGAACCAGGGCGCAGGGAGGGUUGGUUGAGUCACUUCCCUCAGGUUGCACAGCUGGGAAGUUGUGGAACUUGAUUUUAACUUGACCUGUUUCCGAAGCCCUUAUUUUUCUGAAUUCUACGUUCAUAGAUUUUGAUAUUAAAGUAUUCUCCUCUGGGGACAUAUUUCAGAGUUGUAUGUGGUUUUGCAUGUAUUUUGAGAUGAUCAGACUUUCACAAUUUUCUGUGAAGCUAAUGUGCUCUCAGAGGUUAGUUUCUUUUUUGUUUUGUGGGGACAUAGAGGAACCAAUCUUCCUUUUACAUGCUUUGCUGUGUAUGGGUUUGGGGAGGUAGAAAUCCUAUUGUCUGUUGAUUUUUUAAAAAAGAAUAAUGGGGCUUCCCUGGUGGCGCAGUGAUUGAGAGCCUGCCUGCCAAUGCAGGGGCGUGGGUUUGAGCCCUGGUCCGGGAAGAUCCCACAUGCCGCGGAGCAGUUGGGCCCGUGUGCCACAGCUGCUGAGCCUGCGCUCCGGAGCCUGUGAGCCACAACUACUGAGCCUGCAAGCCACAACUACUGAGACUGUGAGCCACAACUACUGAGCCCAUGAGCCACAACUACUGAAGCCCGCGCGCCUAGAGCCCGUGCUCUGCAACAAGAGAAGCCACCGCAGUGAGAAGCCUGCGCGCCACAACGAAGAGUAGCCCCCGCUCACCUCAACUAGAGAAAGCCCACAAACAGCAAUGAAGACCCAGUGCAGCCAAAAAUAAAUAAAUAAAAUAAAUAAAUUUAUUAAAAACAAAA